CCGAUUAUAGCGAGCCCGGUCGCUUCUGACCGAGGUAUCGUGAAAUUUGUAUUUAAAACCCCACUCUUUUUUAAUAAAAUUUAUCGUAUCAAUUAUUGAUAAUAAAUUUUAAGA
rnacentral:misc_RNA from 1 species